GGACCUGUGGCCCAAUGGCAAGGCGUCUGACUACGAAUCAGAAGAUUGCAGGUUCGAUCCCUGCCAGGUUCA